rnacentral:rRNA from 1 species
UCCAGAGGGUGCGAACGUUAAUCGGAAUUACUGGGCGUAAAGCGCACGUAGGUGGCGACGUAAGUCGGGUGUGAAAGCCCCGGGCUCAACCUGGGAAUUGCAUUCGAGACUGCAUUGCUGGAGUACGGAAGAGGAGGGCGGAAUUCCCGGUGUAGCGGUGAAAUGCGUAGAUAUCGGGAGGAACAUCAGUGGCGAAGGCGGCCCUCUGGUCCAGUACUGACACUCAAGUGCGAAAGCGUGGGGAGAAAACAGG